rnacentral:sRNA from 1 species
AAUCUAUAUCAAUCCACACACCGUGAACAAUACAAGUUGGCCAUCGUUAACCGCUGUUAGUUAUUAUUAAUUAGCAGCGGUUAGCGGUUGAGGGUUGUGUGUGUACGACACAUGCAAAACUCAGUCGCUGGUCGUACAUUUAUGUACGAACGGCGUCGGUCUUAACUAAUUCCAACCAACUCACACCAAACUUCAACCAAAUAAAAAUCGAGUGUUCAGCUUAGAGCUGUAACGCUCAUCAACCAAGACAACUCUCAACAACGGAUAUCUUGGCUCUCAGAUCGAUGAAAAACGCAGCGAAAUGCGAUACGUAGUGUGAAUUGCAGAAAUACGUGAAUCAUCGAAUCUUUGAACGCAAAUUGCGCUCGAGGCUUCGGCCAAGAGCAUGUCUGCCUCAGCGUCGGGUUAAUACUCACUCCAAGAAACCUGGUUUUUCGGAGAGUGGAUCUGACUGUCUCGGUGUAUUACUAAUACUAACACACCGGGUCUGCUGAAGUUUGCAGAUGUCAAACCAUGGACCGUUAAAAACGGGCCUCUACUGGGUAGGCAACUCGUUUGCUGCAAUGCUUUAGUAGAUGGCUUGGGUGCUGUGUUUGACACAAAGCAGGAGUACUUGCUCGUACAAGUACGACACCCCUAUUUUCGACCUGAGCUCAGGCAAGA